GGUCGGGGGAUGAGGGCUGGAAGGCGCCCUGUCCGCACCUCGCUCUGGCGGCGGAUCUCUCCCGCUGCCCGUGCCCUGGGUCCCAGGAAGCGCCCUCGCUGUGUGACGCUAAAUAAGUGUGCACACCUCUCUGAGCCUCAGGGACUUCGAGCAAAAUGGUGGAGCUGGUACCCGGCUGUACGGCAAAUUGGGAGCGGCGUAGGGUAGCGCUUAAGAGCGAGGACUCUCUGGAGUCCUUACUCCGCCGCCAGAUAACUUCCGUAAACUAAGGAUAAUAAUAGUGCCACCUCAUAGGUUUGUUAAGAUUAAGUGAGUUAAUAUUUAUAAAGUGUUUAGAACAGUGUCUGUUUCGUGCUAAGUGCUAUUUAAGUAUUUGUUAGACUAACUACAGGAGGUCUCGCUCCGAGAUUUUCUCCUAACCCCCGUCCACCCCCAACAUUCCUGUUUGCCAGCCAAGCCUUGCUUUAGCACGGGCUGGGCCCUCUGCCUGAAAAUCCAUACCCACCUCCUCUCUGGGCUUUCGCAUCAUUCCUUUGUGAAGUCUUCUCUACUCCUGACAGGACAUGUGAGUCUAUGGCAACAGAUCAUUCACACUGGGAGAAGCCAGCUGGUAUGUUGUAAGCAGCCCUAUGGAGAGUUCCAUGUGAUGAGCAACAGAGGUUUCCUGCUAAUAGCCACAUCAAGCCUUCAGAUGACCACAGCUCUGGCCAACAUCUGGGUUGCAACCUACGAGAGACACUGAGCCAGAGCCAUGCAGUCUAGGCUGCAGGGAGCGAGUGAAAGCAAGGAGACCAGUGGGGAGCCCAUGGAUGCCAUGCGGAUGAGAGGCUUUCUCUUGCUGUCUGUUCCAUCACUUGAUCUGGGGGAAGCCUGCUACUGGCAUGACACGAAGACAGUCAGGCAGCCCUAUGGAGAGACCUAGGUGGUGAGGAACUGAGUUCUUCUGCCAAAGAAGAACCAUGUGAAGGCACCACUGGAAGCCAUCCUCUGGUCCCAGUCAAGCUUUCAGAUAACUGCAGCUUUCCUUGAUGUCUUGACUACAACUCGGAGAGGCUGUGAGCCAGAGCCACCCGUAAGAAGCUCCAGAAUGUGGGACCCACAGCAACCGAGAUAGUGUUUGUCAUUUUAAGCCAAAGUUUUGGUGGAAUUUGUUUUUCAGCAGUAGAUAACAAAUACGGUAUCUUUAUGAUAUCCCCAAUGAUUCUUGAUCUUGGCGUUAGUAUUAUUAUUCCCAUCUGCAAAAUGGGGAUAAAAAUUGUGUCUCAUUCAUAGAGCUGUUUGUGAGGAUGUAAAAUGCUCAGAAUGGUGCCAAGAACAGAGUGGGGAUUCAAUAGAUAUUAAUAGUAGUAGGGGUAGUAGUAAUUUCAAGAUUCAAAAUCCCAGAAAAGAGAAUCUGAUCAGCCUGGCUUGGGUUAUGUGCUCUCUUCUUGGGCAAGGAAGCACAGGGCGCUUUGAUUGAAAGCCCACUGAGUCUAUAUUUACUCAAAGGAAAUGAAGAUGUUGCUGACAGAUGAAGGGGCAAAGGUUGCUAGGCAAGCGAGAGCAACAUAGGUUACAAAGGGUGUGCGUACUUUGAAGGUUCCUUAUACAUAAAGCCAAAUUGCUUUCCAAACAUGUAUCAAUGUCCGCUCCUGCCAGCAGCAGGAGAGCCUCCUUCUCACUCCAUCUUUGCUAACAUUGCUAUUAUCCUGAAGAAAAAAAGAGCCAGUUUAAUGACUCUUAUUGUUGCUUAAGUCUACACUUCUUUACUAGUGAAGUUGAACAUGUUUCCAUGUUUCAAUGGCCAUUUGUAUUACCUGUCUGGUGAAUUAAGGAACACUCAUCUAAAAAGUGCAAUUUAGAAUUAUUUUUAUAGAUUUAUGGGAAUUAUGGAUGUGCUAAUAGUAUCUAGUUAGUUUUUUAAACUUUUUGCUGACAGUGUUACAUUUUCAACAAGGGAAAUCGAUCAAGCUUUUUAUUUGUUCUAUUCUUUUAUGCUUGGAAAGUCUAUCACGUUCCAGAAGUUAGAGAACUAUCUAUCUACCUGUAUUCUUUUGGUGAAUGGUUAUUUUAUUAUUUUUGUUUGAUUUGAAUUUAUGAUUUUGACAUAUGGUAUGCAAUGUGGGUCUUAAAACCAGAUUAUUUUAUUUUAUUUUUUUGUGGACUUAUAUGUUUUAAUGUCUGCUGCCCUUCUCCCACCCUCACAAGUGGAAGGGUUUGGAAGAUUACCACUCAAAUGUAUGUUCCCAAAGUUCUCUAUGUUCGAGUUCCCACUCUGAAGCUUCACAGCAACCAAAGUGAGCACAGAGUGGACAGUGGGGUGUGUGUUUAAGGCCACAGAGUUUUGAGUCCUCUGGGGAGUGGCAAUAAGGUAUAGGAGUUCUUCGUGGAAAUGGGAAAGAAAUAGUGAUGGGCGGCAGAGGAAAAGGCAUCUCCUUCUUGAAAUCCUGGUGUGGAGGCCCAAGGUUUCUUGACUCCAGCUACCAAUGCUGACAACUCCUUCAAAGAGAAGAACGCAUCAGCCCCUUUGCCGUGUGCUGUCAUCGGAAGGGCUGAUUUUGCUGGCAGUCUUGGAGGGUGGGUGAUAACCUGUAAGUUUAGCUGAAAGAUAAACACCAGCUUCAACUUACACCUGAAAGCCCAAAAAGCAAAGGAGUGGUCAUUAUUUACCACCCAUUUGCCACUGGCCCUCCAGAACAAAAACUUGUGUGAUUUUCACCUUCUGCUGGAUUGCCACUGCAUAGGAGUCCCCCACUCACACCCAAAUUGCAGUCUAUUUAAGAGGAUGGUAGCUAAGAGGAGAGGGACAAAGCUGAACAGUUACAACAGGUGGGUGCUCUCGGGGCUAAGGUGCAGUGAAAGAGAGAACCGUAACAAAAGACCAGCCAGAACUCCUAAGAUGAUGCAACUGAACCUGAAAAAGGCUUUCCAAAACCGUAGGACAGGAUUUCGGAAUUUAGAGACUUGGUAGGUUGGUUAAAAAGUAUGGUUGGAACUGAGAACUGAAUUACCAUUCUCAUUGUUUUAAAAAAAAAUCUUAUAAUCCAGUAUAAAAAUACAAAAGAAACAGAAAUCUUGAGUGGAAAAAAGUAGUUGACUCUAAUGAUAGAUCUAGGAGGCUGAGCAUGCUAAUAAUAGGAAUUACAGGGGGUAAAAAAGGGAAAAUAGAUGGAGAAGUAAUAAUUAAAGCACGAAUAGAAAAAUGCAGCUUUGUCCAGUUAAGUGUGGGCUAAAUUUACCAUUGAAAAGCCCACGCUAAUUCCAGUUCCUUGGCCUACAUGUGACAAACACACAUGAGUGUAUAUAAUUAAAAGAAAAAAAAAAAGAGGGAUUAUAGAUGAAAACUUCCUGGAGCAAAAGAAAGGUGAGCCUUCAGAUUGAAAGAGCUCAAAUAAUCCAAGGUACCAUUUUUAAAAAAGGCAAAAAGUCACUUCCAUGGAAGUUUCUAAACUUCGAGGAUAAAGAGAAAAUCUUAGAACAGGUUACCUACAGAGGGGAAAAAAGAAUCUGGCUAAUGUUGGCUAUUUCAUUGACAACAAUGAGGGAUAAAAGAGAGUUGGUCAAUGUCUACAGACUACUGAGCACAACAGAUUGUGUGAUCCAAUAAUCCUAAAUCCAGCAAGGGCAUAACUCAAUUGACAGCACAAAAGAAAAACAUAUGAAGAUUCAGAGAAACUACCACAUAUGGACUCCACCUAAGAAAAAUAUUUUAUCAAAUUGAAAAUUGAAUUAAAAUAGAGAUUAUCAAGAUUAAAGAAGCUGUCUAGUACAGGAAAUGGGGGUGAGCAACAAAUCUGACAACAUACAUAAUUAAAAUUGAAUGGAUGAUAUAACAUGCCUGGGAAUCUCAAAUAUUACUUGUGAAGGAUUCUUGAAACAGAAGACACAUGAUUAAGCAAAACCCACAAUAGACUGUAUUCUUAGAAAUCAUCUUACUACCUUGUGAUUCUGCUUACUAUUAGAUCAGAAUGGGAAUAAAAUGUAUGUAAUCAGAUACGAGAAUGAAUGUGGGAUGGCAAGACCUACAAUAAAAGCAAAUGUCUUUGAGGGAGCCUGGCUGGCUCAGUCGGAAGAGUGUGUGACUUUUGAUGUCAGGGUCAUCAGUUUGAGCCCCACAUUGGGUGUAGAGAUUACUUUAAAAAAUAGAUAAAUAAACUUAAAAAAAAAAGUUCAAAUGUCUUUGUAUAAAAGUCAAAUAUAGAACAACCAGACAGAAGAUAAAGCAAUAGAGGACUUCAUAAUAACCUAACUGGAUCUAACAGGCAUAUAUACAACACUCUACCCAACAAGAGUAUACACAUUCUUCUCAAGUGCACUUGGUGUAUUUUCCAGGACAGACCAUAUUUUUGGGCCACAAAUUGAGUCUCGAUGGAUUUUAAAAGAUAGAUAUCAUAGAAAGUGUCUUCUCUGACCAUGAUAAAAUGAAGAACAUUGAUUCUUGAUCUCAGCUCAGGUCUUCAUCUCAGGGUCAUGAGUUCAGCCUCAUGUUGAGCCUACUUAAAAAAAAAUAACUGAAGUAAAACUUCGAAAUUCACAACUUUGUGGAAAUUAAACAACACACGCUUAAAGAACCAACAGAGCCAAAAGAAAUCAUAGGGAAAUUAGAAAAUACUUACACAUGAAUGAAAACACAAUAUAACAAAAGUUAAGGGAUGCAGCUAAAGCAGGGCAAAGGGGGAAUUUUAUAGCUAUAAAUGCCUACAUUUAAAAACAAGAAAAGUCUCAAUCAACAACCUUAAAAAUUUACAACUUAAGGAACUAGAAAGAGAAUAACAAACUAAACCCAUAUAGCUAGCACAAGGAAGAAGAUAAUAAAGAUUAGAGUAGAGAUAAACAAAAUAGAGAACAGAAAAACGACAGAGAAAAAGAAUGAAACCAAAAGUUGGUUCUCUGAAAAGAUCAACAAAAUUGGCAAACUUUUUGCUGGAUGGACUAAGAAAAAAAAGAAACUCAAAGUAUUAAAAUCAGAAAUGAAAGUGGGGACAUUGCUACUUAUUCUACAGAAACAAAAAAGUUUGUAAGAGGGAGAGAGAAAAAAAUGAAGUUCAACACCAAUAUCUGGAAACGUUUGUAUGAACAAUUUGACCCUGACAAGUUAACUGGUCUUAGAUUAUCAGUGUCAAUAUUUAGUAUAAAAAGUUUAUGUAUGUAAUCAAACUUUGGAAUUCUACCAAAAGAGGGUGUUUCUUUAAGCAUUAGAAAUAUACCUAAAAUCAAGGUGUCUGCAAAAGUGAAUGGUGUGUUUUGUUUUGUUUUGUUUCCUACAACUGGAACUAAAAAAUUUUCUCCUAACUUUUAGUUUUGAUAUAAUUUUGGACUUGCAAUUUCAGAAAAGCUGGGACAGAGUUGUAUCAAUAAUACCAAGAAUCAAUUGUUUACACUUUGGGAUUUCUCUAUGUGUAUGUAUAAAUUUUCUGAAUUUUCAAGAGUAAGAUGACACUUUACUCCUAAAUAUUUCCAUGUAUAUAUCCCCUGGACAAGAGCAUUCUUUUAAUAACUCAUUAUAAUGAUCAAAACCAGGAAAUUAACACUGACACAAUCCUAUUUUCUAAUUUACAGACUUUAUUCAGAUUUUUCCAAUUGUCCCAAUAGAGUCCUUUAUAGCAAAAGGAAAUCUUUGACCAGGCAUUGAUUCCAGUUGUCUCUUUAGACUGAGUUCAUCAGUCUUUUGUUCUUCAUGACAGUGAAAUUUUUGAAGGUACGGAUGCAUUAGUUUCCUCCCGAUGCUGUGACAAAUUAUCACAAACUUGGUGGCUUAGAACAACACAAAUUUAUUAUCCUAUAGUUGGAGGUGGGGCAUCCAAAGUGGGUCAUGGACUAAAAUGAAUGUGUUAGCAGGACUAUAUUCUGUUUGGAGGCUCUAGAGGAUAAUCCAUUUCCUUGCCUUUUCUAGCUUCUAGAAGUUACCUCAUUGACCCAAGGCUUCAUUGCUCCAUUUUCAGAGCCAACAAUGUUGACUGAGACUUUCUUAAACUGUUAGAGCCAUCUAUCUGGUUCUUGCUUCCUGCCUUCUUCCACUUAUAAAAAUCCUUGUGAAUACAUUAGGCCCACCUGGAUAAUCCAGGAUAAUCUCCCUAUCUCAAAGUCAGCUGAUUAGAGAAACCUUAAUUCCCUUUGACAGGUGACCUAACAUAGUCACAGGUUCUGGGGAUUAGGAUUGGACAUCUUUUGCCUACCGCAACAGGCCAGUUAUUUUCAACAAUGCCCCUUAAUUUUGCUUUGUCUGAUGUUUCCCCCAUGAUUAGAUUAAUCUUUGGCACUUUUGGAAGAAAUACCCCAGAUGUAUUUUGGUCAGUCAAUCGUGUGUCUGGAAACUUUGCUGAAUACUUGCAUUGGUUUUAGUCUUUUGAUUAUUUUGACUUUUCUGUGUUUGUUCAUAUCACUUCUGGACAGUCACAGUAUACCUAUUUUCUUCACAUUUCUAUACUUAUUUUUCUCAUUAUAUUGACUGGGAUCUCUAGUACUGUGUUAAAUGGUAAUUAGGAUAGCAGACCUC